UGAAGAGAUUUGGGUUACGAGUACCGAAGACGCAAUACUACAAUUACAGACACUUUUAUACAUGGUUUGAUUAGCUAAGGAAUUUACUGUUAGAUCACGUGAAUGGAUAGGCUAUUAUCGUAAGACCAUUAAUCCUUGUAUAAGGACC